rnacentral:rRNA from 1 species
GAUUAGAUACCCUGGUAGUCCACGCCAUAAACGAUGUCGACUUGGAGGUUGUUCCCUUGAGGAGUGGCUUCCGGAGCUAACGCGUUAAGUCGACCGCCUGGGGAGUACGGCCGCAAGGUUAAAACUCAAAUGAAUUGACGGGGGCCCGCACAAGCGGUGGAGCAUGUGGUUUAAUUCGAUGCAACGCGAAGAACCUUACCUACUCUUGACAUCCACGGAAUUUGGCAGAGAUGCCUUAGUGCCUUCGGGAACCGUGAGACAGGUGCUGCAUGGCUGUCGUCAGCUCGUGUUGUGAAAUGUUGGGUUAAGUCCCGCAACGUGCGCAACCCUUAUCCUUUGUUGCCAGCGAUUCGGUCGGGAACUCAAAGGAGACUGCCGGUGAUAAACCGGAGGAAGGUGGGGAUGACGUCAAGUCAUCAUGGCCCUUACGAGUAGGGCUACACACGUGCUACAAUGGCGCAUACAAAGAGAAGCGACCUCGCGAGAGCAAGCGGACCUCAUAAAGUGCGUCGUAGUCCGGAUCGGAGUCUGCAACUCGACUCCGUGAAGUCGGAAUCGCUAGUAAUCGUGGAUCAGAAUGCCACGGUGAAUACGUUCCCGGGCCUUGUACACACCGCCCGUCACACCAUGGGAGUGGGUUGCAAAAGAAGUAGGUAGCUUAACCUUCGGGAGGGCGCUUACCACUUUGUGAUUCAUGACUGGGGUGAAGUCGUAACAAGG